rnacentral:lncRNA from 1 species
AAUAACCCUGGACCCUCAAUCCCUUUGGUUUCAGGUCUCACCAUGUGGUCUCUUUCCCACCCUGCUAAGACCCUCACCAGGAGUCAAACAGAUGGGGCUGCCUUAUUUGGGACUUUCAGUCUUAAGACUAUGAGCUAAAUAACCUCUUUUCUUUAAAAUGCAUCCAGCCUCAAGUAUUUUAUUAAAACAAUAGAAAACUUCUGUUAUUCUAUAUGUUGCUUUUGAAUCUAGAUUAUAAAAAAUAUUGUGGCUUCUGACUCUCUGCCCCUUGGAUCACUCACUCUGGGAGAGGCCAGCUGUCACAUUUGAGGAUGGUCACAUGUAGAGAGGCCCAUCUGGAGAGGAACUGAGGCGUCUUGCCAAUCCAUGUGAAUGGGCUUGAAAUGGAUUCUCUGCCCUGGAGAAAACUUGGAUGACUAUAGUCUUGGCCGACAGCUUGACUAAAACUUUGCGAGAGACCCUGAGUCAGAAUCACCCAGAUAUGUCACUCUUGGAUUCCUGUCUGUCAGAAACUGUGUGAGUUGAUACAUGUUUUUUUUUUGUUUGUUGUUGUUGUUGUUUUAAGCAGUUGCAUUUAGUGUGUGGGGGGGUGGGUACUGGGGAUUGAACUCAGGGGAACUCGAACACUGAGCCACAUCCUCGCCCUAUUUUGUAUUUUAUUUAGAGACUCGGUCUCACUGAGUUACUUAGCUCCUUGCUUUUGUUAAGGCUGGCUUCGAACUCGUCCUCCUGUCUCAGUCUCCUGAGCUGCUGGAUAACAGGCAUGUGCUACGGUACCCAGCUCAGUAGUUGCAUUUUAAAGUAAUUUAUUGUGUAGCAGUAGAUAAGGAUCUACUGCUCCUUGUGGUGUGGGGCUUAGUUGGAAACACUCAGAUGGCUGAGGGCUGAAAUCACCUGAAGGUUACUUCACACACAUGAAUGAUGCCUGAGCUGGGACUGUCACCUGGUGGGAAUACAUAACUGGGAUUUUUUUUUUUUAGUCAUGGCAGUUGGGUUCCAAGAGGGAGCUUCCAUAAAAUGACCUUCCAAAAGACUGAGCUUCAAAGGAGUAGCAAGUUUCUUUUGAACUAGGCUUGGAAGUAAAACAGAGUAACUUCUGCAGCAUGCUUUUGGUCAGGAGUGAGUCACUUAGGCCAGCCCAUACCCAAGGGAGGAGAAUGUGACUUGUUCUCUUGAUGCAGGAAUGAGAAGGUCAAGUUGCAGAAGAAUAAAUGGAAUGGAAAAGAUUUCAGAGCCAUCUUUGCACAAUACAGCCAUACCUGCCCGGCCCUGGGAAGAAAACCCAAUGCAUUGUUCUCUGCAUUGCCUCUCAGGAACAGAGGGACAGAUGGCUUCUUUUCAUAAGCCCUGCACACUUCUAGAACUGGGAGUAAGGCUCAUUCUGCUGAAAUGGCUCUUCCUGUCAAGUCCUGAGGAGAGCCAGCAGUGCUUUGGGCUUGGAAAAUGGGUACUUGUUGCCUUUUGUUCUCAGUUAUUGACUCUGCUACAAAUUCUACCUUUCUAGAAAAACAGGGAAGAUCCCAUUCGGCAUCUCACCCCACCAAGCCACCUCACUCUUUCUCUACCAGUCACUGUACUUAGCCCUUCACCUCCAGGAGUCCUGCACCUACCUUCUUAGCUAGGAAUUAUAAGUCCAUUUCACAGAGGGGAUCUAGAGGACCAAGGUCCAUAGCUGCCAGGUGGUGGAGGAGGGAAUCGAUGCUAGUUCUGACCUCUUUUUCAACCUUCUAGGUUUUCUGGGAUUUCAGAAAGCCUGAAAGUAUAGGAGCUUCAGCCCUGGUUUCCUCAGGUCAUUCCAAGGGUGAGGCCAGAGUGAGCAGUGUGAGAGGGGAGGAGGGAGCUACUUACCGGAGGUAGGACCUUAAACCCUGUCUGGCAGUCAUUGAGAAUACAAAUAUCAAUAAAUGCUAGAGAGAGGAUGUGAAGAAUAAGAAACACUAUUACACUGUUGGUGGGAUCAUAAAUUAGUACAACACUAUAGAAAUCGGUACAGAGACUCCUCAAAAAACUAGGCAUGGAACCACCAUAUGACCCAGCUAUGCCAUUCCUUUAGAUAUUUAUCCUAAAGAAUUAAAGUUAUCAUACCAUAGGAUACAUGCACAUCCAUGAUUAUAGCAGCAUAAUUCACAAUAGCCAAAUUAUGGAACCAACCUAGGAGUCCACCAGUGGAGGAAUGGAUAAAGAAAAUGUGGUAUAAUUGCUGAUGGGACUGCAAAGGGGUGCAACCACUCUGGAAAACAGUAUGAAGAUACCUCAGAAAACUUGCAAUGGAUCCACCAUUUGACCCAGCUAUCCCACUCCUUGGUUUAUACCCAAAGGACUUAAAAUCAGCAUGCACAGUGACGCAGCCACAUGGAUGUUUAUAGCAGUUCAAUUCACAAUAGCUAAACUAUGAAACCAACCUAGAUACCCUUCAACAGAUGAAGGGAUAAAGAAAAUGUGGUACAUAUACACAGUGGAAUAUUACUCAGCCUUAAAUAAAAUAAAAUUAUGGCAUUUGCAGGUAAAUGGAUGGAACUAGAGAAUAUUAUGCUAAGUGAAAUAAGCCAAUCCCCAAAACCCAAAAGCUGAAUGUUUUCUCUGAUAAGCAAUGCUGAUCCAUAGUGGGGUAGAGGGAUAGGGGAAGAAUGAAGGAACUUUGGUUUGCGUAGAUGGGAA